rnacentral:rRNA from 1 species
UACGUAGGGUGCGAGCGUUAAUCGGAUUUACUGUGCGUAAAGCGUGCGCAGGCGGCCCGUUAAGACAGGUGUGAAAUCCCUGGGCUCAACCUAGGAAUUGCGCUUGUGACUGGCGGGCUCGAGUACGGUAGAGGGGGGUGGAAUUCCUGGUGUAGCAGUGAAAUGCGUAGAGAUCAGGAGGAACACCGAUGGCGAAGGCAGCCCCCUGGGCCUGUACUGACGCUCAUGCACGAAAGCGUGGGGAGCAAACAGG